UACAGAGGUCCCGAGCGUUGUUCGGAUUCACUGGGCGUAAAGGGUGCGUAGGUGGUGGAGUAAGUUUGAUGUGAAGUCUCCGGGCUUAACCCGGAAACUGCAUUGAAUACUAUUCCGCUGGAGGUUUGGAGGGGGGACUGGAAUUCUCGGUGUAGCAGUGAAAUGCGUAGAUAUCGAGAGGAACACCAGUGGCGAAGGCGAGUCCCUGGACAACACCUGACACUGAGGCACGAAAGCUAGGGGAGCAAACAGG
rnacentral:rRNA from 1 species